rnacentral:tRNA from 1 species
GGGCCGGUAGUCUAGCUGGCUAACCUUGCCGAUAAUGGGGCCGAAGGACGUCGCCCUCACGCGGCGAAGAUCGCUGGUUCAAGUCCGGCCCGGCCCACCA